CGUUGAAACACCGUUUCCUGUACGACCACCGAAAUUAAGCAAUGUCGAGCCUGGUCAGUACCUAGAUGAGUGACCGUUUCAGAAUACCAGGUGCAGU